UUGAAUAAGCUCUUAUGAAAACUAAAAGAGAAAAAAUAUUGCAAGUCAUUGCGUCUCUCCUUCAGAGGACGAUUGUGCAUUCAUGCUCUAGGAUUUUUAUUACUGAGCUCAAGGUUGUGAACUAUUUAUUUCCAUUUCUUUGGUAGUGAUAUUUGGUUAAACUGGAGAUCCUAGCUAUAGAACAUCAACAGUGUAAAGUAUAUGCAUUGCUGCUCAGAGGUUCUGUAGAUACAUCUUUACUGAUUUUUCAUUUUUAUCAUGUAUGCUUCAAUUCUUGCAUGCCAAAUAAACAUAAGUUCAUGUUUUAUUGUUUAGUUGUCUCAUGUUCGCUCUUCAUUAUUCUAUAUCAAAGUGAUGUCGUUCAAUGCGUUUGUCCCUUUCUGAUGUAGAAAUUGAUUUCCAUGAGGCAUGAACUCAAGGUGCAACAAUAUCAUUCUUCCUGGUGUUGCAUUAAAUAUACCUCUUAUUUGUUAAAAAAAUCCUCUGGAUUUGGGAUUAGUAUAUUAGGUAGACAUCUUUUGGUUAACGGCAGAUUUGAGCGCAGGGUAGAAUUCUUGGUUGAUUCUAGAAUUUCUUUGUAGAUUAGCUAGCAGAUUAGAACGUCUUUGGCAAGUUCUUUGUUGGUUAGGUCCAGCUCCCUUGGCACUGGACCCAGCAGACGCGUGUGCGUGUGCGGAUCUCCCAUGCAUCCACUGCACCACUUGUUGUUGGGUGGCAGUGGGGUAUCCAAGCGUGUGGAAGGCCUAUCCGCCAUGGCGGCGCAGCUUGGCUCCAAGGAGAGCAGUUCCAAGGCCCAACUAACAGGCUACCACAAUUCCUAGCCCAAUCGCGGACUAUAAUUAAAUUGCUUUAUUGAUCAAUCUAUCAGUUAAUCAUAGGCUACAACUAACCAGUGUAGUUUGGAUGUGCAGCACCAGAGACCAUUUGAUUGAAUUGGUGGUACAGUAAUACUAGCCUAAUACAAUUAUCAGAUCCUUUUGUCCUGUCAAGCAGAUGGACUUUUGUCCUGUCAAGCAGAUGGUUAAUUACUGGACAAGUAGAGCAUUGCAUUUUCUGUGUGCAAUCCACACUGACAAGCCUGCAGAGGCUACUUCAAGUCAAGCGGCUUUAGAAUUUCUUUACUAUGUGUACUCAUGUAGUAUUUAGGUUAGAAUAGUAUCAGAUUUGAUUGGUCCCUCAGUUCAUAACAGACAUUGACUGGUUACUUCUUUCUGGCUUUAACUUUGAAGCCUAAAUAACCACCUUUUGCUACUUAAUUGCGCUUGUAGUCAUUUGUGAUUCUCAGUUCAUGAAUAAUAUAUGUUGACAAGACAUAAAUUCAGAACUUCUGGCACAUAUGUACUUUAAUAUACUUGCACGCUUUAAUUUUGUCAUUGAAAUUGUUUCUUUGUUCUUCCAGGUUUUGGGUAGCCAAUCAAGUCAUGUAAUACUUUAUUGUACCAUUCCUUUUGAUGUUAGAUGUACAACAGUUUUAUGCUCAAAUAAAGAUAUAUAUGCAUACAAAUUAGUUGCUGGUUAUUCCUCCAUGAUAUAGUUUUCCAGUUAAAUGUAGUCUUGCGCUUGUGUGAUUGAAAACUAAGAAUGGAAAGGUGAAGCUGCACAUCAAACUAGAGUACAUGCAUAUGUGCAUACACUCUGCCCCUCCUCUGUUUCCAUUACUUUGAGCUACAGGAAAGGGAAAUUACAGCUAGAUGAAGUAGCAUAUGGGAGUAGCACUCACCUCUCCCUGUGAGGUUGCAUCGAGCUCUAAACUUCAAGUGAGUCUUCACGAGCUUGUGCUGUAUCUUGGGGUACUAGCAGAUCGCCUCUGCACGCGAUGCUGUUCAGCGGGGAACAACGGCAUGGAGCAGCUGCCACAACUUAUUUGGCGUGUCGGACGCAAGCGGUGCUACCUGCAAUAGCUCUCGCCUUGCCGACGGCGAUGGCCUUAGACGGCAGACCGCAUCUCACCUUGUGUGAGUCGCCUCUGAGCUCGAACUGAGGGGAACAUAGGCAUGGGAGCAGCUGCCACAACUUAGGCCCGGGCUUGGACGCACCGGAUGCGGGCCGUGCUACCCGCAAGGGAUCCCUACUUGCCGCCAGUGACGGCGAUGGCCCCGGACGGCGGACUGGCAUCUCACCGUCUCACUUUGUGGGAAACGCCUCAUUGAGGUCGAACUGAGGCAGCUAGAGGAGUCCAGGAGAUAAGGUAAGGGAAUGGAAAGAAAAAAUAAAAUAUGCCGUUUCAGUGGUGGGGCUGACCAGAACACGUAUUGGUCGCGUUUAGCCCUGCAGGAUAGCGCGUGCUGGGGGUAAAACAUGCAUAAUCCUAACUUGCUUACUCCGUUGCAACUCUUAUGACACGAAUUACUUGAUUACACCUGCCUGGCUGGUUCAAUUUUGGUAUUAUAUUUGCCCCCGCUUGCUUUGAUCUAGAUUCACUUUGUUGAUAUUGAAUUGGUCUUAAUGUUAACAUCAACAAUGGUUAUUCGAGUUUCAUAUUACUUUAGACAUAAUGUGCUUCAACUACGGCAUUUUGUAUUUUCCUUUUAAAUUUAUAUGGAACAUCGGAAACCCAGCCAUGGCGGCAGUGGCGUAGUACUUCACCUAACUCCCCUACGCCAUGUCUCAGCAAAACAAAGCGGAUGGAUCCGUGAUCCACAUUGAACAUAUAAACCCUGCUGGGGUGCUAGGCAGACUCGCGCUAUCCACGUAGGCUGUGAAUAGUUCAGCGACGCGAGACUCGGCGGUAGCGAGCGAAAGAAAAAGCAGCGAAGGCGGCAGCGAGCGAAAGAAAAAGGCAGCCCGCGUAACCCUAGCCGCCGCCCCCUCCUCCUCCUCCCACCUCACCCCUCCCCCCAGGGCGCCUCCUCCCCCUAGCCGCCGCCCCCUCCUCCUCCUCCCACCUCUGCCCCCCCGCAUCUCGUCUGCCCCGGGUGCGGAGGCGAGCUUCCCGACAACGGCGGCGACUUCGAUCUGCAGGAGAGAGAGGGAUGUGCGCCGGCGUCGGUUUCCCCAACCCCACAGCCGUCGCACGCCGCGCCACUCCGCGCCCCCUCUUUGCUCCACCACGCAGCUUCCUCCUCCCUGCUCACCUCCGGCGCAGCUCGUCGUAGUGGAGAGCAUGAGCGGCAUGGUCUUCAUGGUGGGGUGGAGCUGCAGUGGAGGGAAGGAUGCUUGACGGAUCCGGCGCGUGCAGGCUGAAGCGGCAGGAGUUGGUGGAUACGGCCGAUGCGGACGGGGUCGUUGACGGGGGCUGGGAGCUCGAGUUGGUUCACGGUUUGCCUUUCCAUCCUCCCUGCCUCACUCAUGCCUCCCCCUUUUUUCAUUGACGACGGCUUUGGCUGCAGGGGCGCCAUGAGGAGUGGAAGGCCGAGGUCGUUCGACGGGUGGAGCAGCAGGAGCAAUGAGCCAAUGGUGGUCAAUGGCUAACCUCUACCUCCUCUCUCUCUGUGGUUAAGAAGGCCAAAUAGAAGAAGCAAAGGAAUGGCGCAAAAGUCUUGCUGAGGUGCCCCCUCCAAGGCCCAGAUUCUUCUGAGGUGACCCUAUUGCUCCCCUCAAACCUAGCACCUUCGAUGCUGUGUCAUCAUCAAUUUUGAUACAUACAGUUCUGGAAGCUUUAGGAUUGGUCAUUGCUUAUAACUGUUGUGGGUAACAUGACCUUGUUUACUCCCUACAAUCUUCAUUCACACGUCUUUGAUGUUUAUUUUGCUAUUAGAUGAUGAAAAUCUAAAGAACGGACACACAACCAGAAGUUUACAUAUUUUGUUUGCUGGUAAUGUGUCAUCGUCAUCUUUGUUAGCCAGACUUGUCGGUUGUCCUACUUAAUUCCCACCUUAUCACGUUGCUCUUGAUUUUUAAUCAUGCUUGGAGCUUUGGUCUGCAGCUAUACAAAAUCAUAUGCUUUGGCUCUAGAUUAGGGUAAUGUUGGAACUUGGGAGGGAGUAACUAAGCCAUACAUUUGGCUCUAGGAUUUUCAGUUUGUAUUUGCCGGAUGUAGAAACAGCUUUCUAUGAGAUAACGAGUUGACGACACACCACAUUCGGUUGACUGUUGAGGCGUAAAUGGCACCCGAGUGCUGUAGUAUGCAGUAGCGACCGGCGAGGCAUCAGGAUGUGGCGAGGCAAGGCUGUGGAGUUCAUGAGUUUUCAGGCUGCACGGGAUGCAAGUUAAUGGAUCUGCAGAUUAGAACGUACAAAUGACUGGUGCAUAAGCUCCUUCGACUAUUUGAUUAAAGAGAAGGCAUGGGUUGACGCUACCAAUAUAUGUGUUGGCUACAGAGGCAUAGAAAUAAUAAUCGAUGCCCAAUUCCGUCUCUGCAUUUAAAGGAUGACUGCUUCAUAGCAGGCUUGCCUUGUGAUCAAACCUGACGAUGUGCAGCAUGGUGUGGGCACUGCCAUGGCAUGGCGAGGCACCCGCAAGGCACCACUUGCUUCCAUUCUGAGGUGGAUUAGCGCUCGGAUAGUCACGCGGAUCUCCAAACCAGCACCCUCCCACGGCGCAGUUCCACCGUGUUGACCGGCGCUUCCUACACCAUGGAUCAAAUAAACAGCCGCCUCAGCAUAGCCAUCCAGAAUGCUCUCCUGCCUCCGUUCCCCCUCAGAUUCUUAUAUAUCCACGAGGGGGACAUUUAUUAACAGAGGGUGUUACUCUUGGUGGCUGUAUUGAUCUCCCGUGCCACCAAUCUGACCGAUGGCUCCACUUCGACUUCGUCAACUCCACUGACUAUCUCGACUAUGUCAUACUGCAACCCCGAUGCCCACUGGUUAUGCAGUAACAUGCUUCUGAACACCAGGUUGCAACUCCAGCUUCGCAGACGAACUCGCUCAUUGCUCUAGAAGGUGCUUGGGCUUGUUUCUCUGACCGAUUGGCUGCGACAUCUCACAUGGAUCUUCACUGCCUCAUAGACCUAUUUUUUAUUCUCUCGUCAAUUCUACAUGUCUGCUCGUCCAUUGCAUGGUGCUAGAUGGUCCCUGUUUAGUUAAUCCAAGGUAAAUCAUAUGCAUAACCAUGGAAUGGCACAUACUGGCCUCAGGUUGUACAAAUUCAUCGCAAGGCCGGGUCAGUCCGAAAGUUCAAAGGGGAAAAAAUCCAUUUGAAAGCUGGAAAAUACAUUACUCGCUGCAAGCCUGGUGAGCAUUACGUAGAUGAGUUCGCUGCCCACUGUGUGUGUGGGAAAUACAGUUAAGUUGUAUAACAAAAAUAUUCGCAAUCUGUGAAAUAUCAUCAAAGACAAGAAAACACCUGACCAUUACUAUGUAUGCCACAUGACAGAAACAUUUUCUGCUGACGGCAAAAGAAUGUACUUUAGCACACACUUUUCUAAGAGAAGUCUCUUCCCGCACAUGGAUGCUGAUGAUGAGCUACCAAUCAGUGCAGGAGACGGGACCAUCAGUGUCAUGGCCCUCUUUAUCAUGGGCAUCGACAACAGGGCUACACUCACAAAGAACUGGAGCAGCUUCUUCCAUAAGGCAAACAUGAAGAAAGGAUGUGCAUAUGCUUUCGCCUUCAAGUGCGCGUCCAAGGGCCUCUGCAUGGUUGUCUAUCCAAUCUAAGCAGGUCACAAUAGUCCUUUGCUACAUAACUUGGUAUUACUAUAAGUACCGAUCGAGACUUAUAUCUGGCAUCAUUUUGGAUCUUAU